UACGUAGGAUGCAAGCGUUAUCCGGAAUCAUUGGGCGUAAAGCGUCCGCAGGUGGAACAGUAAGUUGAGCGAUAAAUACCAGUGCCUAACAUUGGUGCCUCGUUCAAUACUGCUGAUCUAGAGGAUGGGAGGGGCAGACGGAAUUCCCGGUGUAGGGGUAAAAUCCGUAGAUAUCGGGAAGAACACCAAAAGCGAAGGCAGUCUGCUGGAACAUUCCUGACACUCAUGGACGAAAGCGUGGGGAGCGAAAAGG
rnacentral:rRNA from 1 species